rnacentral:rRNA from 1 species
AUUGAACGCUGGCGGCAGGCCUAACACAUGCAAGUCGAACGAGGGGCGGACGGGUGAGGAAUGUCUGGGAAACUGCCCGAGGGAGGGGGAUAACUACUGGAAACGGUAGCUAAUACCGCAUACCAUCGGAUGUGCCCAGAUGGGAUUAGCUAGUAGGUGGGGUAACGGCUCACCUAGGCGACGAUCCCUAGCUGGUCGGAGAGGAUGACCAGCCACACUGGAACUGAGACACGGUCCAGACUCCUACGGGAGGCAGCAGUGGGGAAUAUUGCACAAGGGGCGCAAGCCUGAUGCAGCCAUGCAGCGUGUAUGAAGAAGGCCUUCGGGUUGUAAAGUACUUUCAGCGAGGAGGCGUUACUCGCAGAAGAAGCACCGGCUAACUCCGUGCCAGCAGCCGCGGUAAUUC